rnacentral:rRNA from 1 species
GAACGGGUGAGUAACACGUGAGCAACCUGCCCCAGGCUUUGGGAUAACCCCGGGAAACCGGGGCUAAUACCGAAUAUGACCUUGCACCGCAUGGUGUUUGGUGGAAAGUUUUUCGGCUUGGGAUGGGCUCGCGGCCUAUCAGCUUGUUGGUGGGGUGAUGGCCUACCAAGGCGACGACGGGUAGCCGGCCUGAGAGGGCGACCGGCCACACUGGGACUGAGACACGGCCCAGACUCCUACGGGAGGCAGCAGUGGGGAAUAUUGCACAAUGGGCGGAAGCCUGAUGCAGCGACGCCGCGUGAGGGAUGACGGCCUUCGGGUUGUAAACCUCUUUCAGCAGGGACGAAGCGUAAGUGACGGUACCUGCAGAAGAAGCGCCGGCCAACUACGUGCCAGCAGCCGCGGUAAGACGUAGGGCGCGAGCGUUGUCCGGAUUUAUUGGGCGUAAAGAGCUCGUAGGCGGCUUGUCGCGUCGACUGUGAAAACCCGCAGCUCAACUGCGGGCCUGCAGUCGAUACGGGCAGGCUAGAGUUCGGUAGGGGAGACUGGAAUUCCUGGUGUAGCGGUGAAAUGCGCAGAUAUCAGGAGGAACACCGGUGG